rnacentral:rRNA from 1 species
AACUCUGAGAAGUGGAUCACUCGGCUCACGAGUUGAUAAAGAACGCAGCUAGCUGCGAGACUUGGUGUGAAUUGCAGACCACAUUGAACACUGAUUUUUCGAACUCGCAUUGCGGUCUCGGGUGACACCCGGGACCUUGCCUGUCUGAGGUUCG